ACGACGAUGGCCCAGUUGGUUGGAGUGUGUGUUUGGGAAACUGUGGUCGCCGGUUCGAUUCCGGUCCGAUGCA
rnacentral:tRNA from 1 species